GGUCUCUUUGUGCACCCGCCCACACGGCUUGCGGACCUUUUUCCCUUCGCUGCUUUCCACCGGUCUCGGCAGGGUCUGAGGACUCCGGAGAGCAAGGCAUGAGUCCGCCUCGUGCCGCAGGUUCCUGGCCCACGCCAGCUGGACCCAGUAGCACCAUGGGAUUUGAGGACACACGCCGGCUGCCUACCCUUGAAGAAAGGGCUUUGCUGCUGUGCACUGACAAGUUGGGACGGCUUUUUAUUGCUUUGUUGCCAGUUAUCUGAACAUGAGAGGCUAUAAGGUGUAAUCUAUGCGAGCUGACUGCCCUACGCCCAGACUGAACCAGGGCCUCACUUGACUGAGUAUUAGACAAUGUAAUAAAAACUUACCUUGCCCAGACUAUAUAAUGGCUUGGAAAUGCACAGUUUCCCGAAAGAUCUCAAUAAAAUACUUUUAAAAGGA
rnacentral:lncRNA from 1 species